ensembl:misc_RNA 7SK 7SK RNA
GCAUGUGAGAGCAAUCUGGCUGCGACAUCUGUCACCCUAGGGUUGAUUCAGCUGAUCUGCCUGGCUAGGCGGGUGUCCUUUCCUCCCUCACCAUUCCAUGUGUGAAGAGGACGGCCUUCUCCAUAUAAAGCUGGACCGGCCUCCGGGCUGUACAAGUAGCUGUGCUCCCCUGCUAGAACCUCCAAACAAGCUCUCAAGAAUAUCACUCCUAUCCCUGGGGCUCCAUGACUGUCAGAGCAGAGGGCCUUUCCACCCAAAUAUCCUGGUGGGAAGAAAAAGAUGCUUCCCCUUCCCCUA